GGACGAACGCUGGCGGCGUGCUUAACACAUGCAAGUCGAGCGGUAAGGCCCUUCGGGGUACACGAGCGGCGAACGGGUGAGUAACACGUGGGUGAUCUGCCUCGCACUUCGGGAUAAGCCUGGGAAACUGGGUCUAAUACCGGAUAUGACCACUGGUCGCAUGGUUGGUGGUGGAAAGAUUUAUCGGUGCGAGAUGGGCCCGCGGCCUAUCAGCUUGUUGGUGGGGUAAUGGCCUACCAAGGCGACGACGGGUAGCCGGCCUGAGAGGGCGACCGGCCACACUGGGACUGAGACACGGCCCAGACUCCUACGGGAGGCAGCAGUGGGGAAUAUUGCACAAUGGGCGAAAGCCUGAUGCAGCGACGCCGCGUGAGGGAUGACGGCCUUCGGGUUGUAAACCUCUUUCGACAGGGACGAAGCGUGAGUGACGGUACCUGUAGAAGAAGCACCGGCCAACUAC
rnacentral:rRNA from 1 species